rnacentral:rRNA from 1 species
UACAGUCGCAAGGCUGAAACUCAAAGGAAUUGACGGGGGCCCACACAAGCGGUGGAGCAUGUGGUUCAAUUCGACGCAACGCGAAGAACCUUACCUGGGCUCGAACGGCUUCCCAACGAUCGUGGAAACACGGUUACUCCGCAAGGGGGUGGAGUCGAGGUGCUGCAUGGCUGUCGUCAGCUCGUGUCGUGAGAUGUUGGGUUAAGUCCCGCAACGAGCGCAACCCUUGUCCUGUGUUGCCAUGCCGAAAGGCGGAACUCGCAGGAGACCGCCAGCGAUAAGCUGGAGGAAGGUGGGGAUGACGUCAAGUCCUCAUGGCCUUUAUGUCCAGGGCUACACACGUGCUACAAUGGCCGGUACAGAGCGCCGCUAAGUCGCAAGACGGAGCCAAUCGCAAAAAACCGGUCUCAGUUCGGAUUGCAGGCUGCAACUCGCCUGCAUGAAGCUGGAAUCGCUAGUAAUGCCAUAUCAGAACGAUGGCGUGAAUACGUUCCCGGGCCUUGUACACACCGCCCGUCACAUCACGAAAGUGGAUUGUACUAGAAGUCCGCAGGCUGACCCGCAAGGGGAGCAGCGGCCCAAGGUAUGAU